rnacentral:rRNA from 1 species
UGGGGAAUAUUGCACAAUGGGCGAAAGCCUGAUGCAGCGACGCCGCGUGAGGGAUGACGGCCUUCGGGUUGUAAACCUCUUUCAGCAGGGACGAAGCGCAAGUGACGGUACCUGCAGAAGAAGCACCGGCUAACUACGUGCCAGCAGCCGCGGUAAUACGUAGGGUGCAAGCGUUGUCCGGAAUUACUGGGCGUAAAGAGUUCGUAGGCGGUUUGUCGCGUCGUUUGUGAAAACCAGCAGCUCAACUGCUGGCUUGCAGGCGAUGCGGGCAGACUUGAGUACUGCAGGGGANACUGGAAUUCCUGGUGUAGCGGUGAAAUGCGCAGAUAUCAGGAGGAACACCGGUGGCGAAGGCGGGUCUCUGGGCAGUAACUGACGCUGAGGAACGAAAGCGUGGGUAGCGAACAGGAUUAGAUACCCUGGUAGUCCACGCCGUAAACGGUGGGCGCUAGGUGUGGUUCCUUCCACGGAAUCCGUGCCGUAGCUAACGCAUUAAGCGCCCCCGCCUGGGGGAGUACGGCCGCAAGGCUAAAACUCAAAUGAAUUGACGGGGUCAUAGCUGUUU